rnacentral:rRNA from 1 species
CUUUUGGGGGACGCGGAGGACAUUA